rnacentral:tRNA from 1 species
GGGCUGGUAGCUCAGUAGUAGAGCGCCGCAUUUGCAAUGCGGAGGUCCAGGGUUCGAAUCCCUGCCAGUCCA